CAGAGUGCACAACAGAAAAGCUGACCUUGACAAGCGUUGAGCUGCUCUAUCACCCAGGGCAUUCUCGGAAUAGAUGAUUCAUAGUUUCAGCACUGUCUCCACAUCGAGGACAGUUUGUACUUACAGCUAGCUUUCUGUGUUGCAUAUUUACUUUUGUAAGCAGAUAGUUCCAUGACAGCCUCCAUAUUGUAAUCUUUACUUUUGUUGGUAGAUUCAGGCUCCAGAGUUGUUUAUAGAAUUUCCUAUAGAUGGUAUGUAAAGCAUAAGCUCUAGGAUUACCAUUCGAUCUCUGUAAUAGUUUAUAAGCACUGCGGACUCUGAAUUCACCCAACAUCCCACCUCCCCAAAUAAGAAAAUCUUCAUGCGGUGUUCGUGCCAGAGGGAUUCAGAGGAUCCUUGCAGCGUCUUCUCUUGUGAAGGUACUAUUAAUCAGCUCCUUUUUCCAAAUUCUUUUAUUACCAUCAA